rnacentral:rRNA from 1 species
AACUUGAAGAGUUUGAACAUGAUUUAGAUUGAACGCUGGCAGUAAGCCUAAUACAUGCAAUUCGAACGGCAGUACAAAAGAGCUUGCUCUUUGGUUGGCGCGAGUAACUGACGGGUGAGUAAUGUCUGGGAAACUACCAGAUGAAGGGGGUCAACUAUUGGAAACGAUAGCUAAUAUCGCAUAAUGUCGUAAGACCAAAGUGGAGGAUCUUAGGGCUUUACACCAUCGGAUGUACCCAGAUGGGAUUAGCUAGUAGAUGGGAUAAUAGCUCACUUAGGCAGAUCUCUAGCUGGUCUGAGAGGAUAACCAGCAACACUGGAACUGAGACGGUCCAGACUCCUACGAGAGGCAGCAGUGGGGAAUAUUGCACAAUGGGCAAAAGCCUGAUGCAGCUAUGCCGCGUGUAUGAAGAAGGCCUUCGGGUUGUAAAGUACUUUCAGUGGGGAAGAAGGCGAUAAAACUAAUAAUUUUAUCGAUUGGUUUAAUUCAAUGCAACGUGAAGAACUUUACUUAACUUUAACAUACAGAAAAAUUUUCGGAUAUAAAUCGGUAUCUUUAGGAUAGCUUAAGAAGUUCUAUAUGGCUGUUAUCAGCUGGCUGUUAUCAGCUCGUAUUAUAAAAUAUUGGAUUAAAUCCUGCAAACGAGCAACAACCCUUAUCUUUUGUUGUUAUUAGUUCUCCUAAAAAAUUCAAAGGAGACUGCCGGUGAUAAACUGGAGAAAGGUAGGGAUGAUGUCAGGUUAUCAUGAUCCUUAUGAUUAGGGCUACACACGUGCUACGUCUAUAUUGGAGUCUGCAACUCGACUCUCUAUUAAGUCGGAAUUGCUAAUAAUUGUAGAUUAGCCAUACUAUAGUGAAUAAGUUCCUAAACCUUGUAUUCACUGUCCGUCACCUCAUGAGAGUAGAUUGCAAAAGAAGUAGGUAAUUUUAUCCUUUUAUAAAGGUAGUUUAUUACUUUAUGAUUUAUGACUGGAGUAAAGUAGUAACAAGAUAACUGUAGGGAAAUAUGCGAUUGAGAUACCUU